GAUGGGGUGGCCGAGCGGUCCAAGGCGCAGGUUUGCUAAACCUGUGUGCAUCUGCACUCGAGGGUUCAAAUCCCUCCCCCAUCG
rnacentral:tRNA from 1 species